rnacentral:rRNA from 1 species
AGUGAACGCUGGCGGUAGGCCUAACACAUGCGAGUCGAACGGCAGCACAGUAAGAGCUUGCUCUUACGGGUGGCGAGUGGCGGACGGGUGAGGAAUACAUCGGAAUCUACUUUUUCGUGGGGGAUAACGUAGGGAAACUUACGCUAAUACCGCAUACGACCUACGGGUGAAAGCAGGGGAUCUUCGGACCUUGCGCGAUUGAAUGAGCCGAUGUCGGAUUAGCUAGUUGGCGGGGUAAAGGCCCACCAAGGCGACGAUCCGUAGCUGGUCUGAGAGGAUGAUCAGCCACACUGGAACUGAGACACGGUCCAGACUCCUACGGGAGGCAGCAGUGGGGAAUAUUGGACAAUGGGCGCAAGCCUGAUCCAGCCAUACCGCGUCGGUGAAGAAGGCCUUCGGGUUGUAAAGCCCUUUUGUUGGGAAAGAAAAGCAGCAGGUUAAUACCCCGCUGUUCUGACGGUACCCAAAGAAUAAGCACCGGCUAACUUCGUG